GGGAAUGUAGCUUAGUGGUAGAGUGCUUGCUUAACAUGCAUAAAGCCCUGGGUUCAAUUCCUCAGUACCA
rnacentral:tRNA from 1 species